rnacentral:rRNA from 1 species
AUUGAACGCUGGCGGCAUGCUUUACACAUGCAAGUCGAACGGCAGCGCGGGCUUCGGCCUGGCGGCGAGUGGCGAACGGGUGAGUAAUGCAUCGGAACGUGCCCAGUAGUGGGGGAUAGCCCGGCGAAAGCCGGAUUAAUACCGCAUACGACCUGAGGGUGAAAGCGGGGGACCGAAAGGCCUCGCGCUAUUGGAGCGGCCGAUGUCGGAUUAGCUAGUUGGUGGGGUAAAGGCUUACCAAGGCGACGAUCCGUAGCUGGUCUGAGAGGACGACCAGCCACACUGGGACUGAGACACGGCCCAGACUCCUACGGGAGGCAGCAGUGGGGAAUUUUGGACAAUGGGGGCAAACCUGAUCCAGCCAUGCCGCGUGCGGGAAGAAGGCCUUCGGGCUGUAAACCGCUUUUGUUCGGGAAGAAAUCCUCUGGGCUAAUACCCCGGGGGGAUGACGGUACCGGAAGAAUAAGCACCGGCUAACUACGUG